CCUUCGAUAGCUCAGUUGGUAGAGCGGAGGACUGUAGAUCCUUAGGUCGCUGGUUCAAUUCUGGCUCGAAGGA
rnacentral:tRNA from 1 species